GGAAACCGGAAGCUAAUACCUGAUAAUAUUUUGAACCGCAUGGUUCAAAAGUAAAAGACGGUCUUGCUGUCACUUAUAGAUGGAUCCGCGCUGCAUUAGCUAGUUGGUAAGGUAACGGCUUACCAAGGCAACGAUGCAUAGCCGACCUGAGAGGGUGAUCGGCCACACUGGAACUGAGACACGGUCCAG
rnacentral:rRNA from 1 species